rnacentral:lncRNA from 1 species
GGAGGAUCAGGACCUGGGAGGUGGAUUCAGUUUUACAUCAGGAGGUCAGAACAAGCUCCAUUAAGGAGCAGACUUUGAGAAAAGACUGGAAGGAGGUGAGGGAGUGACCAAGUGGACAUCUAGGGGAAUAGCUUUCUUGGCAAAGGUGAUAGCUGUGUAAUGCCCCUCGGGGGACCACGCCUGGUGUGUUCCAAGAGCAGGAGGCCAGGGUGGCUGGACAGAUGUGAGCACAGGCAAGAGAAGUAAGAGCUUCUGAGAUCAGAGAGGUAACAUGGAGCCAGAUCAGGUCCAUCCUGACCUACAGUCUCGGGAUGCCAGAACCCAAAGGGGCCUCGGACACUGUGUGGUAACCCACCGCUUGCUGGACAGAGAUCUCAUCCAGGCCCUCACAACAGCUGUGAUGUGUUCUUCCUCCAGCAUCCUGCUGACGGAUUAGGGGACCAGCCCGGACUCCCAGCCGGGGCAGGAAGCCUCGUCUUCCCUCAGUGAGCACCCCCUCCCCAGUUCUCUCUUCCUCCUUUGCAGCUGACUGCCCCCUGCUGGCCAAAGCUGAGCCUCCCCCCCCAUCCUCUUCUCCUCCAAGAAGCUCUCCUAGACUGACCCCUGUGCACCCCACUCACUCCAGGGCUCCUCAUCCUCCCACGGUGACCAGACACCCUUUCUUUUCAGGGCGUUGAUAGGCAGCUGUGUAAGUGUUCUAACACUGUGGUUUCCUGGGUGUGUCUCAGGUGUCUCCCAUUAGGAACAACUCGAGGGCCAGGACCUGGACGUCAGGUCACAACCCAGUCCGUGAGGAGGGUGUAGGGAGCUGCCAGAGGGGUUUCACAGCCUGGAAUCCUAAUUCAGUGGCCACUAUCUCUGCAUCACAACCUGCCUAAACCCGACCUUUGCAUCUCCCCUUCCCCCACUUUCGUCUCAAACCUAAGCCAUCAGCUUCUCCCAACUUCCCUUUCUCUGCCAACAGUUCCACCUUCCCCACCUACCCAGACGUGAACCCUGGAGUCAUCUUU